CCAGUUACGGCCGGGCUUUGAGGCCGGCGCGGCCGGAGCCGGUGCGGCCGGCGACGGUUGCGCUGCGGGUGCGGCCUGCUGCGUGGGC
rnacentral:tRNA from 1 species